AUUGAACGCUGGCGGCAUGCUUUACACAUGCAAGUCGAACGGCAGCGGGGUAGUGCUUGCACUACUGCCGGCGAGUGGCGAACGGGUGAGUAAUAUAUCGGAACGUACCGAGUAAUGGGGAUUAACCAUUGGAAGAUUUGCCAAAUCCGCAUUCGUUCCUGAGGAGAAAGCGGGGGGAUCGCAAGCCCCGCCGUAUUUCAGCCGCCGAUAACUGAUUAGCUAGUUGGUGGGGUAAAGGCCUACCAAGGCGACGAACAGUAGCGGGUCUGAGAGGACGAUCCGCCACACUGGGACUGAGACACGGCCCAGACUCCUACGGGAGGCAGCAGUGGGGAAUUUUGGACAAUGGGGGCAACCCUGAUCCAGCCAUGCCGCGUGUAUGAAGAAGGCCUUCGGGUUGUAAAGUACUUUUGUUAGGGAAGAAAAGGGAAGUGCUAAUACCACUUUUUGCUGACGGUACCUAAAGAAUAAGCACCGGCUAACUACGUG
rnacentral:rRNA from 1 species